GAACAGGAAGAAACAUCAAAGAACAGAUAAAAGGAAGGAGAGGAAGUGUAGAUGAAGGGAUGAAAAGAAAGAAGGGAAACAAAAAGGAAUAGGAAGAAAAUUGAAGAAGGGAGAGAAUGGAAAGAAAGACAUUAAGGGGGGGGAGAGAGAGCGAGAAGGUUGAAAAGAUGAAAGAAUGAGAGAGAAAUUAAAAAUGAACAACUUUUUUCAUCUCUCUCCUUUCCAUCAAUUCAUAUUCUUGUCCUUAAUUUUUAUUCUCUUAUUCCCCCAUUUUGGUUUCCUUCAAUCUUUCUUGUUAGAGAGAGAGAGAGAGAGAGAACAAAGAAUGAUGAGAACAGGAAGAAACAUCAAAGAACAAAUAAAAGGAAGACAGGAAUGAAGGAGAGGAAGGGAUGAAAAGAAAGAAGGGAAACAAAGGAAUAGGAGAGAAAAACAAAGAAGGGAGAGAAUGGAAAGAAAGACAUGAAGGAAGGAAGGGAGUAGAGAAGACUGAAAAGAUGAAAGAAUGAGAGAGAAAUGAAAAUGAACAACUUUUUCAUCUCUCCCUUCCUUCCCACACUGUAAAAAAUGUCCGUAAUUAAAAGGUAUGAACUACCGUAUUCUUAGGAGGGAAUUUUCCGUAAUAUUAUUCUACGGAUGAUUUACCCGUAUUUUGAAGAACGCAAUGCAUUGUGGGAGAGACUGUCUUCAGAGGGAACGCAGCCGCCGCUUGAUCGCUCUCUGCUGUCUGAGUGAGUUGGAGUACUGCACUUCUGUGGAUUCAUCGUGGGUGGAACACGACCCAAAUAUCUUCCAUUUAUUUAUCAGAUGUACAGGCUCGUCUUACAGACAGCACACCAGAGGUCAGUACAUAUGUGAGUACAGAUCCCGACACUGAUGUACACAGUCAGGUAUGUCAGGGUAAUACAGACAAUGACAAAAAUGCACAAGAUAGGUUCAUUGAAAAUCUGGCCCUGUUUUGUUUAGGUUUACAGACUAAAUACUUAGUUCCAGCCUCUACCAUUUCAGAAAUUGUCAAUGAAAUGAAAACACUGCAGGAUGUGCAGCAGGAAUUCACAAUGGGAGUUUUGGGCCUAAAAUUGGAACAGUAUGGUGUCCAACAUGAAACCUUACUAAGUCUGGGACAGAGCGUAUACGAACAGAGCCCUUUGCAUGCAGCCUUAUGUGCCAGUGGGCCUUUAACAACACACCACCGCAGGCUGCAAUACUUUAAGUCUCACUUUAAUUAUGUUCACCCUGUGGAAGUGACACUGGGGUACAAUGACAGUGGGAAGAGGCGACACUACCAUUAUGUUCCUUUACUUGACAGUCUCAGGGCAAUGUUGAAAAAGCUGAUGCACAAUGGUGACCUUGCUGAACAUGGUAGGCCUAUACAUGUAUUUUGUGAUUUUACUGAUGGGCAUGUUGUUAGGUCAAAUGAUGUUUGCCACAGACCCAGACAGUUUAAAGGUGAUGCUUUUUCAGGAUGCUUUUGAAGUAGCUAACCCUCUUGGAUCUGCCAAGCAAAAGCACAAAAUUUUAGCUGUGUAUUUCACUCUUGGUAAUUUACAUCCACAUCUGAGAUCAACAGUUGAUCAGAUUCAAUUAGUACUGCUUUGUUCAGAGAAAGACUGUAAAUAUUUUGGCGUGGACAAGGUUUUCAGGGAGCUUGUGUCAGAUUUGGGUGAAUUGGAGGAAAAGGGCAUCUCCUUUGAGGAUAAGACAUUGAAAGGCACUGUUGCAUGCAUUAUGGGAGAUAAUCUGGGUUCCCACAUGAUUGGAGGGUUCACAGAAAAUUUUAGUUGUGCUGAGUAUUUCUGUAGGUACUGUCUUGUCACAAGACCCACGUUUUUGGCCAAUCCUCUCACAGUUUUCACUCCAAGAGAUCCUACUGAGUAUAAUGACUCUGUGCAGUUUCUGGAGAGUCACCCGGAUGUGACCACACAUCAGGGCAUUAAAGGCAACAGUGUGUUUAACAAACUGUCACAUUUUCAUGUCUGUCAGCCUGGACUGCCGCCCUGUUUAGCGCAUGAUUUGUUUGAGGGUGUUGUGGACUAUGAUCUGGCAAUGUAUUUGCAGUACUUAAUUAAGAACGAGAAGUGGUUUAGUUACAAGUUAUUAAAUGAAAGACUCAGUUCAUUUCCAGGUGAAAGCAGUAACAAGCCAAAUGCUAUUCCAAACAAAGGAACAAAACUUGGUGGCCAUGCAGCCCAGAACAGGUGGUUAUUGCAGUUCCUGCCCAUUUUGGUGUAUGAUAAAAGCUGGCAGAGGAGGUGUCCAGAAAGGGAAAGGGCAUCAAAGACUUUCUACAGUCCAGGGGGAUAAAGAUGGCACCCAGUAACGAUCUAGUACAGCUGAUCUCUGGGAUCGCAAAAUUCUUCAGAGAAAAGCCUGAACAACUCUUCCACCCAAGUGAGGAAUCUGCUGCUGCCGCACUACCACUGCAAAGCACACCUUGCAUCCUUACCAUGGGUGAUCAUCAUUACAAAAUCGCCGUGGACCAAGAAGUCGUAAACAACCACAUCAGCUCCAUGAUUGUAGCUCUGAGCUACACUUUUGCUGCAUUUUAUGUUUUUAACAUAAAGUACCCAAAAGACAUGGCUCUCACACUGGAGUUCAUUCAAAGAGUUUUCCUGGGAAUAAAUCCAGAACGAGGGUCAAAGGCUGAGAAGAAGGGAAAGAAACACCCUCACUUGCCCCCAAGACUUCUGAAGUUCUUGUGUGAACUGAACAGUUUUGAAAACCCCUGGAUGGAAAUGUGAACAUUUGCAUGCAUGUGCACGCAUGCGCGCGCGCACACACACACACACACACACACACACACACACACAAAGCUGAGUUUCUGCUGAGGUCUGGAAUGCCCCUCAACUCCCACCCCUUAAUCGUUUAGGUGUGUUUCUUUUUUUUGUUCUUUCUUAAGAGACUUUGAAACCUGUUUGUUGGGAAUCAUAGACCUCACCCUUCAAUCCAAUUUAAAAGUUACAAAUAUCAAAUCAUUUUGUGGGUUUUGUAUGUUGCAUGACGUUCUUAAAAAUGACAGGGUGCUAGUCAUAAUGAAUACUUGAUGAAAUUUGUGGUGGUGUUAAAUAUUCUUGAAUUAAUUAUUUGUGAAUUAACAGCAUGACUUCCCAUAGACCUGUCCGUUCAAUCCAAUUUAAAAGGUACAAAUAUCAAAUCAUUUUGUGUUUUUUGUAUGUUCUUAAAAAUGUCAGUGUGCUAGUCAUAAUGAAUAUUUGAUGAAGAUAACAUCUCUGAAUUCAUAGCAUGAAUUAUUGAAAUAAACUACUAAAAUGGCAUCUCACCUUGUGUAGACGUGUGUAAUGUACUGUAUUAAAAGACUUAACUU